rnacentral:tRNA from 1 species
UCAGUCGAGUGGAACGGAUAACCACAUAUGGCUCAUAUCCAUAGAAUAACGGGUUCGACUCCCGUGGCUGAA